rnacentral:rRNA from 1 species
UGCGUAGGUGGUGAGGUAAGUCGGAUGUGAAAUCUCCGGGCUCAACCCGGAAAUGGCAUUGGAAACUACCUUGCUGGAGGAUUUGAGGGGGGAUUGGAAUACUUGGUGUAGCAGUGAAAUGCGUAGACAUCAAGUGGAACACCAGUGGCGAAGGCGAAUCCCUGGAAAAUACCUGACACUGAGGCACGAAAGCUAGGGGGAGCAAACA